UAAUAGCUCACUGGUCGAGUCGGCCUGCGCGGAAGAUGUAACGGGGCUAAACCAUGCACCGAAGCUGCGGCAGCGACGCUUAUGCGUUGUUGGGUAGGGGAGCGUUCUGUAAGCCUGUGAAGGUGUGCUGUGAGGCAUGCUGGAGGUAUCAGAAGUGCGAAUGCUGACAUAAGUAACGAUAAAGCGGGUGAAAAGCCCGCUCGCCGGAAGACCAAGGGUUCCUGUCCAACGUUAAUCGGGGCAGGGUGAGUCGACCCCUAAGGCGAGGCCGAAAGGCGUAGUCGAUGGGAAACAGGUUAAUAUUCCUGUACUUGGUGUUACUGCGAAGGGGGGACGGAGAAGGCUAUGUUGGCCGGGCGACGGUUGUCCCGGUUUAAGCGUGUAGGCUGGUUUUCCAGGCAAAUCCGGAAAACCAAGGCUGAGGCGUGAUGACGAGGCACUACGGUGCUGAAGCAACAAAUGCCCUGCUUCCAGGAAAAGCCUCUAAGCAUCAGGUAACAUCAAAUCGUACCCCAAACCGACACAGGUGGUCAGGUAGAGAAUACCAAGGCGCUUGAGAGAACUCGGGUGAAGGAACUAGGCAAAAUGGUGCCGUAACUUCGGGAGAAGGCACGCUGAUAUGUAGGUGAAGCGACUUGCUCGUGGAGCUGAAAUCAGUCGAAGAUACCAGCUGGCUGCAACUGUUUAUUAAAAACACAGCACUGUGCAAACACGAAAGUGGACGUAUACGGUGUGACGCCUGCCCGGUGCCGGAAGGUUAAUUGAUGGGGUUAGCGGUAACGCGAAGCUCUUGAUCGAAGCCCCGGUAAACGGCGGCCGUAACUAUAACGGUCCUAAGGUAGCGAAAUUCCUUGUCGGGUAAGUUCCGACCUGCACGAAUGGCGUAAUGAUGGCCAGGCUGUCUCCACCCGAGACUCAGUGAAAUUGAACUCGCUGUGAAGAUGCAGUGUACCCGCGGCAAGACGGAAAGACCCCGUGAACCUUUACUAUAGCUUGACACUGAACAUUGAGCCUUGAUGUGUAGGAUAGGUGGGAGGCUUUGAAGUGUGGACGCCAGUCUGCAUGGAGCCGACCUUGAAAUACCACCCUUUAAUGUUUGAUGUUCUAACGUGGGCCCCUAAUCGGGGUUGCGGACAGUGUCUGGUGGGUAGUUUGACUGGGGCGGUCUCCUCCUAAAGAGUAACGGAGGAGCACGAAGGUU
rnacentral:rRNA from 1 species